rnacentral:rRNA from 1 species
UACGUAGGGGGCAAGCGUUGUCCGGAAUUAUUGGGCGUAAAGAGCGUGUAGGCGGUCCGGUAAGUCGGCUGUGAAAGUCCAGGGCUCAACCCUGGGAUGCCGGUCGAUACUGCCGGACUAGAGUUCGGAAGAGGCGAGUGGAAUUCCGGGUGUAGUGGUGAAAUGCGUAGAUAUCCGGAGGAACACCAGUGGCGAAGGCGACUUUCUGGCCUGUUCUUGACGCUGAGGCGCGAAAGCUAGGGGAGCAAACGGG